AAUAGAUACCCUGGUAGUCCACGCCGUAAACGAUGUCGACUUGGAGGUUGUGCCCUUGAGGCGUGGCUUCCGGAGCUAAUGCGUUAAGUCGACCGCCUGGGGAGUACGGCCGCAAGGUUAAAACUCAAAUGAAUUGACGGGGGCCCGCACAAGCGGUGGAGCAUGUGGUUUAAUUCGAUGCAACGCGAAGAACCUUACCUGGUCUUGACAUCCACGGAAGUUUUCAGAGAUGAGAAUGUGCCUUCGGGAACCGUGAGACAGGUGCUGCAUGGCUGUCGUCAGCUCGUGUUGUGAAAUGUUGGGUUAAGUCCCGCAACGAGCGCAACCCUUAUCCUUUGUUGCCAGCGGUUAGGCCGGGAACUCAAAGGAGACUGCCAGUGAUAAACUGGAGGAAGGUGGGGAUGACGUCAAGUCAUCAUGGCCCUUACGACCAGGGCUACACGCGUGCUACAAUGGCGCAUACAAAGAGAAGCGACCCUGCGAGGGCAAGCGGACCUCAUAAAGUGCGUCGUAGUCCGGA
rnacentral:rRNA from 1 species